CAAAUACUCCCUCCGUCCGGAAAUACUUGUCAUCAAAAUGGAUAAAACGAGAUGUAUGUAGACGUAUUUUAGUUCUAAAUACAUCCCUUUUUAUCCAUUUUGAUGACCAGUAUUUUGGGAUGGAGGGAGUACUUG
rnacentral:pre_miRNA from 1 species